GGGGGAGUGUCUUGUGCUAAUAAGCAAUGAAGAUAGCUGGUGAUCACUUUCCUCAUCUUCUGCUGGUUCCUGCUGUUUCAUCUCAACUGCCUUGCAAUGGAGAGAAACUGCAAAUUUGUUCUUGGAACAGCAGCAUGGCAUGAGACCUACGUGUGACAACUCUGAAGAAAAAUAUUUUGGAAGUGCCAUAUAGGAUCGAUCAGGUUAGGAAGACUCCACAUCAGUUUAGGACAAGGCGGCUUCACCAGAGCCUCUGGAAAGGCCACUCUCAGAUGCUGAGGCUGAAAAUCUCUUGCUUCUGUGUUAAGAAUGAUUCUCUUUCUGCCUUCUACCACUUGCUCCUAUGCUGUGAGUGGGUGUGGUGGGUGCACUUCUUAUAGCUGUGGAUCUUGAUCAAUAAGCUAUUAUUUUAUGUUUUAUUUAUUUAUUUUUUUGUACA